CAGGAUCCAGGCCCAGCAGAGCCCAACCCUGAGAUCGACCUCACAACCCUGAGAUCAUAACCUGAACCGAAAUCCUGAGUUGGAUGCUUCACCGACUCAGCCACCCAGGCACCCCUAAAAUACAUUCUAUCCUCCAACCUUUCCGACAGAUGCCCUUGGCCACCCCUUGGGCAUAGGGAUGGACAUACCAGGUCCUUUGGGGGACAGGCUUGGGAAGCAGCGUACAUGGGCCCCAGAGCAGGCAUGGGGCCAUUAGAGCAGGCUCCCUGGAGCUCCAGGGAGCUCCCCUCCCCAGAAGGAGAGGCGUGUAGCCAGAGGAGAGCGAGAGCAGGUUCCUCUCUGGCCCCAGUCUGGAUGAGGCCUUCCACACUUCCGGUGUACAGGUGGUGUGCUGGGUGCUUGGGAGUAAAAACAGGUGAGUAAAAACAGUCUAGAGAGGGCGUGCAGAAACUGGCAGGUAAGAACCCCCGAAAUGCAAACUCCCCACUCUGUAUUGACCCAAUCAGAAAAGUCAGGGAAGAGGUAACUAUGCCAAAGCGGGGAGAGAAGAGAAUUCUAGGCAGAGGGAAAAGCAUAGGCAAAGUCGGGGUAGCAGUGGGGAGCCCAGGCAAGGCGAGGCAUGGGAGGCGGUGGUGAGCUGGGAGCAGAAGACCCAGGAGCUCCAGAGAGGCAGGUAUGUCUUGACCAGGAAAGGCCUCCGUGGCCUAAUUCAGAAUUUUCUCUGUAUCCUCAGCAAAAGGCUUUGAGCUCAGCUGACAGAAAUUAAACAGCCCCGCUCUCCAAUGCAGAUGCGAACCUUAAGAAUGAAAUCACAGCAGCAGUGAACUAAACUGAGAAAAAACACCUUCCGGCAACCUUGCACAUGACAUUUGUCACUGCAAACAGGCUUGUCAUGCACAAAUCACCUGCAACAACAAAGAGGAUUAUGGAUGGGUUGGUGGCCGUCACACGGGAUCUUUUUGUGCUGAGGAGUUUAAAUCAGGAAGCUUGAUUUACUCUCCCAGGCUCAUUUUUCUUCUCCCGGUACGAUUAUAAUGAUCACUGUCACAAGAGAGGUAUGUUCUACAAGUGGAAUCACAAUAUCUGUCCUUUUGUGACUGGCUAUGUCACUUAGCAUCAUGUCUUCAAGAUUCUCCCAUGGAGGGGCAGCCCCGGUGGCGCAAGCGGUUUAGUGCCGCCUUCAGUCCAGGGUGUGAUCUUG